rnacentral:rRNA from 1 species
AGCAGCAGGCGCGAAAACUUUACAAUGCGGGAAACCGUGAUAAGGGAACUCCGAGUGUCCGUAAAUGCGGACUGUCCGUAUGUUUAAAAAGCAUGCGAAGAAAGGGCCGGGCAAGACCGGUGCCAGCCGCCGCGGUAAUACCGGCGUCUCGAGUGGUGGCCACUAUUACUGGGCUUAAAGCGUUCGUAGCUGGGUUGUUUAGUCUCUUGGGAAAUCUACCGGCUUAACCGAUAGGCGUCCAAGGGAUACUGGCAAUCUAGGGACCGGGAGAGGUGAGGGGUACUUCAGGGGUAGGAGUGAAAUCCUGUAAUCCUUGGGGGACCACCUGUGGCGUAGGCGCCUCACCAGAACGGCUCCGACAGUGAGGGACGAAAGCUGGGGGAGCAAACCGGAUUAGAUACCCGGGUAGUCCCAGCUGUAAACGAUGCAGACUCGGUGAUGAGUUGGCUUAUUGCUAACUCAGUGCCGCGGGGA